rnacentral:lncRNA from 1 species
GGCGCGCGGGCGAGUGCGGUCCCGGGCCCUUCUCGCUCUCCUCGGCCCCGCCCACCCCUUCCGUCGCGCCCGGGCCGCAGUCCCUGCCGACGUCACUGACCCGCUGGCGCGCCGCUGGCCCGGGGCGCCCUGAGGCUCGCGAUGCCGGGAGCUCCGCUGCCGGGUUCGAGUCGCAUCCGUUUCCGGAUCCGAGGCCAUCCCGGUCCGGCCUUCCGGCCUGCGGUCUCUUCACGGGGUCCCGCCCCGACCCGCGCCGUGUCAGGUCCCCACUCGCAACGUGCGCUCACGCCCUCUGCACCCCUCGGGCCGCCCGGGACUCCGCAGACCUGUCUUCUCCAGAAGCGGCCCGGCCCCGGCGCUCGCUCCGCUCCGCGGUCACCGCCUCACACACCUGUCCCAGGGAGAUGUUGGUGUUCAUGGAUUUGUAAAGAAUUGACUUGUCUGCAGAUACUGAGUGUUCCUCCUCUUUGGCUCUGCUUCCUGUUGCUUGGACUGUGUGUGAGUGAAAACCCAGAAGACAGUUGGCAGCUGAACUAG